GGGGCAAGUAUGGACACAACAUUCAAGCUGGAUUCAGCUCUAAAUUUGGAUUGUGAUUUAAAAGUUGACACAGCAUAGGUUUCUGACACAGAAUGAAUGUGUUCUAAUGAACUUAAAAGUUUUGUUUUCUCUUAGAGCAAUUCACUAUGCUGUUGAAUAUUCAUCCUCUCAAAAAAAUGUUUGAAGAAAUUUUCUUUUUAUU
rnacentral:lncRNA from 1 species